GACGAUUAUCUCGGUUCUUUUUUUAGCUUCAAUAAAAUAAAAACAAGAAAAACCUUGGAAAAAUCGACGAAACGUGAAAAAUCCGACGAAUCGGAACGUCGAAUCUUCCAAGUUUCAGCGAAAAUGUCUACACACACACAAAGAAAUACUUGGCAGCAGCAGCAGCGUGUGGACUCUUGACUGUGACGCAACUUGGCCUCAAUUUUUCCGUGCCGAGAAAAAUAAAAAAAGAU